CGGAAGUACUCGGAGCGCCCGGGAGGGAGGCUCUAGUUCACAGAAGCUGUUGUCAUCCGACACUGAGGUUUUGGGACUUGGCGGAGAAGGCAGAGUGUACAACUGAGACCACUGCUAACCAAUUUAAGACUCCAGAUUAUCAGCACCCUGGCUUCCUCAGUCAGUCUAAGAAGCCCCAGCCUGAGACCUCUGGAGGAGGCCUCCAUCCUUUGUCCAGAGCAGAACAGGAUGGCCAUUUCCCAG
rnacentral:lncRNA from 1 species